rnacentral:rRNA from 1 species
AGAGUUUGAUCAUGGCUCAGAACGAACGCUGGCGGCGUGGAUAAGACAUGCAAGUCGAGCGCUGAUUACAGGGUAGCAAUAUUCUGUGGUCGGAGCGGCGCAAGGGUGCGUAACACGUGGGUAAUCUGCCAUGAAGUUUGGAAUAACUUGCUGAAAGGCGAGCUAAUACCGGAUGUGACAAUUGAGAGGCAUCUUCCGAUUGUCAAAGCUGGGGACCGUAAGGCCUGGCGCUUCAUGAUGAGCCCGCGGCCUAUCAGCUAGUUGGUGAGGUAACGGCUCACCAAGGCUAAGACGGGUAGCUGGUCUGAGAGGACGACCAGCCACACUGGAACUGAGACACGGUCCAGACACCUACGGGUGGCAGCAGUCGAGAAUUUUUCACAAUGGGCGCAAGCCUGAUGGAGCGACGCCGCGUGGGGGAUGAAUGGCUUCGGCCCGUAAACCCCUGUCAUUUGCGAACAAAUUGGUUCAAUUAACACCUGAACCAUUGAUAGUAGCGAAAGAGGAAGGGACGGCUAACUCUGUGCCAGCAGCCGCGGUAAUACAGAGGUCCCAAGCGUUGUUCGGAUUCACUGGGCGUAAAGGGUGCGUAGGUGGUGAGGUAAGUCGGAUGUGAAAGCUCGGAGCUCAACUCCGAAAUGGCAUUGGAAACUACCUUGCUAGAGGGUUGGAGGGGGGACUGGAAUGCUUGGUGUAGCAGUGAAAUGCGUAGAGAUGCGGAGGAACACCGAUGGCGAAGGCAGCCCCCUGGGCCAACACUGACGCUCAGGCACGAAAGCGUGGGGAGCAAACAGGAUUAGAUACCCUAGUAGUCC